rnacentral:rRNA from 1 species
CAUUAAGUUGGGCACUCUAAGUUGACUGCCGGUGACAAACCGGAGGAAGGUGGGGAUGACGUCAAAUCAUCAUGCCCCUUAUGAUUUGGGCUACACACGUGCUACAAUGGACAAUACAAAGGGCAGCGAAACCGCGAGGUCAAGCAAAUCCCAUAAAGUUGUUCUCAGUUCGGAUUGUAGUCUGCAACUCGACUACAUGAAGCUGGAAUCGCUAGUAAUCGUAGAUCAGCAUGCUACGGUGAAUACGUUCCCGGGUCUUGUACACACCGCCCGUCACACCACGAGAGUUUGUAACACCCGAAGCCGGUGGAGUAACCUUUUAGGAGCUAGCCGUCGAAGGUGGGACAAAUGAUUGGGGUGAAGUCGUAACAAGGUAGCCGUAUCGGAAGGUGCGGCUGGAUCACCUCCUUUCUA